UACGUAGGCAGCAAGCGUUGUUCGGAGUUACUGGGCGUAAAGGGUGCGUAGGUGGCUCUAUAAGUAUGGUGUGAAAUCUCCCGGCUUAACUGGGAGGGUGCGCCGUAGACUGUGGGGCUAGAGUGUGGGAGAGGAAAGUGGAAUCCUGGUGUAGCGGUGAAAUGCGUAGAUAUCAGGAGGAACACCGGUGGUGUAAACGGCUUUCUGGACCGAUAACUGACA
rnacentral:rRNA from 1 species